GAUGAAAACCAUCAAUUUUGACUACAAACAUCUAGUUUCUACCAACAUUGAUGAAAACCAUCAAUUACAACCAAAACUAACUAGUUUCUACCAACAUUGAUGAAAACCAUCAAUUACAACCAAAACUAACUAGUUUCUACCAACAUUGAUGAAAACCAUCAAUUACAACCAAAACUAACUAGUUUCUACCAACAUUGAUGAAAACCAUCAAUUUUGACUACAAACAUCCAUUUUCUACUAACUUUGACCAAAAACACCAACUUUGGCUACAAACAUCCAUUUUCCUCCAACUUUGACCAAAAACACCAACUUUGGCUACAAACAUCUAGUUUCUACCAACUUUGACCAAAAACACCAACUUUGGCUACAAACAUCCAUUUUCUACUAACUUUGACCAAAAACACCAACUUUGGCUACAAACAUCUAGUUUCUACCAACUUUGACCAAAAACACCAACUUUGGCUACAAACAUCUAGUUUCUACCAACUUUGACCAAAACACCAACUUUGGCUACAAACAUCCAUUUUCUACUAACUUUAACCAAAAACACCAACUUUGGCUACAAACAUCUAGUUUCUACCAACUUUGACCAAAAACACCAACUUUGGCUACAAACAUCCAUUUUCUACCAACUUUGACCAAAAACACCAACUUUGGCUACAAACAUCUAGUUUCUACCAACUUUAACCAAAAACACCAACUUUGGCUACAAACAUCUAGUUUCUACCAACAUUGAUGAAAACCAUCAAUUUUGACUACAAACAUCUAGUUUUUACCAACAUUGAUGAAAACCAUCAAUUUUGACUACAAACAUCCAUUUUCUACUAACUUUGACCAAAAACAUCAACUUUGGCUACAAACAUCCACUUUCUACCAACUUUGACCAAAAACACCAACUUUGGCUACAAACAUCUAGUUUCUACCAACUUUGACCAAAAACACCAACUUUGGCUACAAACAUUCGUUUUCUACCAACUUUGACCAAAAACACCAACUUUGGCUACAAACAUCUAGUUUCUACCAACAUUGAUGAAAAUCAUCAAUUUUGACUACAAACAUCUAGUUUCUACCAACAUUGAUGAAAACCAUCAAUUACAACCAAAACUAACUAGUUUCUACCAACAUUGAUGAAAACCACCCACUACAACCAAAACUAACUAGUUUCUACCAACAUUGAUGAAAACCAUCAAUUUUGACUACAAACAUCUAGUUUCUACCAACAUUGAUGAAAAUCAUCAAUUUUGACUACAAACAUCUAGUUUCUACCAACAUUGAUGAAAACCAUCAAUUUUGACUACAAACAUCCAUUUUUUACUAACUUUGACCAAAAACACCAACUUUGGCUACAAACAUCCACUUUCUACCAACUUUGACCAAAAACACCAACUUUGGCUACAAACAUCUAGUUUCUACCAACUUUGACCAAAAACACCAACUUUGGCUACAAACAUCUAGUUUCUACCAACUUUGACCAAAAACAUCAACUUUGGCUACAAACAUCCAUUUUCUACCAACUUUGACCAAAAACACCAACUUUGGCUACAAACAUCUAGUUUCUACCAACUUUGACCAAAAACACCAACUUUGGCUACAAACAUCUAGUUUCUACCAACUUUGACCAAAAACACCAACUUUGGCUACAAACAUCUAGUUUCUACCAACUUUGACCAAAAACAUCAACUUUGGCUACAAACAUCCAUUUUCUACCAACUUUGACCAAAAACAUCAACUUUGGCUACAAACAUUCAUUUUCUACCAACUUUGACCAAAAACACCAACUUUGGCUACAAACAUCUAGUUUCUACCAACUUUGACCAAAAACACCAACUUUGGCUACAAACAUCUAGUUUCUACCAACUUUGACCAAAAACACCAACUUUGGCUACAAACAUCUAGUUUCUACCAACUUUGACCAAAAACACCAACUUUGGCUACAAACAUCCAUUUUCUACUAACUUUGACCAAAAACACCAACUUUGGCUACAAACAUCUAGUUUCUACCAACUUUGACCAAAAACACCAACUUUGGCUACAAACAUUCGUUUUCUACCAACUUUGACCAAAAACACCAACUUUGGCUACAAACAUCCAUUUUCUACUAACUUUGACCAAAACCAUCAAUUUUGACUACAAACAUCUAGUUUCUACCAACUUUGACCAAAAACACCAACUUUGGCUACAAACAUCUAGUUUCUACCAACUUUGACCAAAAACACCAACUUUGGCUACAAACAUCUAGUUUCUACCAACUUUGACCAAAAACACCAACUUUGGCUACAAACAUUCGUUUUCUACCAACUUUGACCAAAAACACCAACUUUGGCUACAAACAUCCAUUUUCUACUAACUUUGACCAAAACCAUCAAUUUUGACUACAAACAUCUAGUUUCUACCAACUUUGACCAAAAACACCAACUUUGGCUACAAACAUCUAGUUUCUACCAACUUUGACCAAAAACACCAACUUUGGCUACAAACAUCUAGUUUCUACCAACUUUGACCAAAAACACCAACUUUGGCUACAAACAUCCAUUUUCUACUAACUUUGACCAAAAACACCAACUUUGGCUACAAACAUCUAGUUUCUACCAACUUUGACCAAAAACACCAACUUUGGCUACAAACAUCCAUUUUCUACUAACUUUGACCAACAACACCAACUUUGGCUACAAACAUCUAGUUUCUACCAACUUUGACCAAAAACACCAACUUUGGCUACAAAUAUCUAGUUUCUACCAACUUUGACCAAAAACACCAACUUUGGCUACAAACAUCUAGUUUCUACUAACUUUGACCAAAAACACCAACUUUGGCUACAAACAUCUAGUUUCUACCAACUUUGACCAAAAACACCAACUUUGGCUACAAACAUCUUGUUUCUACCAACUUUGACCAAAAACACCAACUUUGGCUACAAACAUCUAGUUUCUACCAACUUUGACCAAAAACACCAACUUUGACAAACAUCUAGUUUCUACCAACUUUGACCAAAAACAUAAACUUUGGCUACAAACAUCCAUUUUCUACCAACUUUGACCAAAAACACCAACUUUGGCUACAAACAUCUAGUUUCUACCAACUUUGACCAAAAACACCAACUUUGGCUACAAACAUCCAUUUUCUACUAACUUUGACCAAAAACACCAACUUUGGCUACAAUCAUCUAGUUUCUACCAACUUUGACCAAAAACACCAACUUUGGCUACAAACAUCCAUUUUCUACCAACUUUGACCAAAAACACCAACUUUGGCUACAAACAUCUAGUUUCUACCAACUUUAACCAAAAACACCAACUUUGGCUACAAACAUCUAGUUUCUACCAACUUUGACCAAAAACACCAACUUUGGCUACAAACAUCUAGUUUCUACCAACUUUGACCAAAAACACCAACUUUGGCUACAAACAUCCAUUUUCUACCAACUUUGACCAAAAACACCAACUUUGGCUACAAACAUCCAUUUUCUACUAACUUUGACCAAAAACACCAACUUUGGCUACAAACAUCUAGUUUCUACCAACUUUGACCAAAAACACCAACUUUGGCUACAAACAUCCAUUUUCUACCAACUUUGACCAAAAACACCAACUUUGGCUACAAACAUCUAGUUUCUACCAACUUUAACCAAAAACACCAACUUUGGCUACAAACAUCUAGUUUCUACCAACUUUGACCAAAAACACCAACUUUGGCUAUAAACAUCUAGUUUCUACCAACUUUGACCAAAAACACCAACUUUGGCUACAAACAUCCAUUUUCUACUAACUUUGACCAAAAACACCAACUUUGGCUACAAACAUCUAGUUUCUACCAACUUUGACCAAAAACACCAACUUUGGCUACAAACAUCUUGUUUCUACCAACUUUGACCAAAAACACCAACUUUGGCUACAAACAUCUAGUUUCUACCAACUUUGACCAAAAACACCAACUUUGACAAACAUCUAGUUUCUACCAACUUUGACCAAAAACACCAACUUUGGCUACAAACAUCCAUUUUCUACCAACUUUGACCAAAAACACCAACUUUGGCUACAAACAUCCAUUUUCUACCAACUUUGACCAAAAACACCAACUUUGGCUACAAACAUCUAGUUUCUACCAACUUUGACCAAAAACACCAACUUUGGCUACAAACAUCCAUUUUCUACUAACUUUGACCAAAAACACCAACUUUGGCUACAAUCAUCUAGUUUCUACCAACUUUGACCAAAAACACCAACUUUGGCUACAAACAUCCAUUUUCUACCAACUUUGACCAAAAACACCAACUUUGGCUACAAACAUCUAGUUUCUACCAACUUUAACCAAAAACACCAACUUUGGCUACAAACAUCUAGUUUCUACCAACUUUGACCAAAAACACCAACUUUGGCUAUAAACAUCUAGUUUCUACCAACUUUGACCAAAAACACCAACUUUGGCUACAAACAUCCAUUUUCUACCAACUUUGACCAAAAACACCAACUUUGGCUACAAACAUCCAUUUUCUACUAACUUUGACCAAAAACACCAACUUUGGCUACAAACAUCCAUUUUCUACCAACUUUGACCAAAAACACCAACUUUGGCUACAAAUAUCCAUUUUCUACUAACUUUGACCAAAAACACCAACUUUGGCUACAAACAUCUUGUUUCUACCAACUUUGACCAAAAACACCAACUUUGGCUACAAACAUCUAGUUUCUACCAACUUUGACCAAAAACACCAACUUUGGCUACAAACAUCCAUUUUCUACUAACUUUGACCAACAACACCAACUUUGGCUACAAACAUCUAGUUUCUACCAACUUUGACCAAAAACACCAACUUUGGCUACAAAUAUCUAGUUUCUACCAACUUUGACCAAAAACACCAACUUUGGCUACAAACAUCCAUUUUCUACUAACUUUGACCAAAAACACCAACUUUGGCUACAAACAUCUAGUUUCUACCAACUUUGACCAAAAACACCAACUUUGGCUACAAACAUCUUGUUUCUACCAACUUUGACCAAAAACACCAACUUUGGCUACAAACAUCUAGUUUCUACCAACUUUGACCAAAAACACCAACUUUGACAAACAUCUAGUUUCUACCAACUUUGACCAAAAACACCAACUUUGGCUAUAAACAUCCAUUUUCUACCAACUUUGACCAAAAACAUAAACUUUGGCUACAAACAUCCAUUUUCUACCAACUUUGACCAAAAACACCAACUUUGGCUACAAACAUCUAGUUUCUACCAACUUUGACCAAAAACACCAACUUUGGCUACAAACAUCCAUUUUCUACUAACUUUGACCAAAAACACCAACUUUGGCUACAAUCAUCUAGUUUCUACCAACUUUGACCAAAAACACCAACUUUGGCUACAAACAUCCAUUUUCUACCAACUUUGACCAAAAACACCAACUUUGGCUACAAACAUCUAGUUUCUACCAACUUUAACCAAAAACACCAACUUUGGCUACAAACAUCUAGUUUCUACCAACUUUGACCAAAAACACCAACUUUGGCUACAAACAUCUAGUUUCUACCAACUUUGACCAAAAACACCAACUUUGGCUACAAACAUCCAUUUUCUACUAACUUUGACCAAAAACACCAACUUUGGCUACAAACAUCUAGUUUCUACCAACUUUGACCAAAAACACCAACUUUGGCUACAAACAUCUUGUUUCUACCAACUUUGACCAAAAACACCAACUUUGGCUACAAACAUCUAGUUUCUACCAACUUUGACCAAAAACACCAACUUUGACAAACAUCUAGUUUCUACCAACUUUGACCAAAAACACCAACUUUGGCUAUAAACAUCCAUUUUCUACCAACUUUGACCAAAAUCAUCAACUUUGGCUACAAACAUCCAUUUUCUACCAACUUUGACCAAAAACACCAACUUUGGCUACAAACAUCUAGUUUCUACCAACUUUGACCAAAAACACCAACUUUGGCUACAAACAUCCAUUUUCUACUAACUUUGACCAAAAACACCAACUUUGGCUACAAUCAUCUAGUUUCUACCAACUUUGACCAAAAACACCAACUUUGGCUACAAACAUCCAUUUUCUACCAACUUUGACCAAAAACACCAACUUUGGCUACAAACAUCUAGUUUCUACCAACUUUAACCAAAAACACCAACUUUGGCUACAAACAUCUAGUUUCUACCAACUUUGACCAAAAACACCAACUUUGGCUACAAACAUCUAGUUUCUACCAACUUUGACCAAAAACACCAACUUUGGCUACAAACAUCCAUUUUCUACCAACUUUGACCAAAAACACCAACUUUGGCUACAAACAUCCAUUUUCUACUAACUUUGACCAAAAACACCAACUUUGGCUACAAACAUCCAUUUUCUACCAACUUUGACCAAAAACACCAACUUUGGCUACAAACAUCCAUUUUCUACUAACUUUGACCAAAAACACCAACUUUGGCUACAAACAUCUUGUUUCUACCAACUUUGACCAAAAACACCAACUUUGGCUACAAACAUCUAGUUUCUACCAACUUUGACCAAAAACACCAACUUUGGCUACAAACAUCCAUUUUCUACUAACUUUGACCAAAAACACCAACUUUGGCUACAAACAUCCAUUUUCUACUAACUUUGACCAAAAACACCAACUUUGGCUACAAACAUCUAGUUUCUACCAACUUUGACCAAAAACACCAACUUUGGCUACAAACAUCCAUUUUCUACUAACUUUGACCAACAACACCAACUUUGGCUACAAACAUCUAGUUUCUACCAACUUUGACCAAAAACACCAACUUUGGCUACAAAUAUCUAGUUUCUACCAACUUUAACCAAAAACACCAACUUUGGCUACAAACAUCUAGUUUCUACCAACUUUGACCAAAAACACCAACUUUGGCUACAAACAUCUAGUUUCUACCAACUUUGACCAAAAACACCAACUUUGGCUAUAAACAUCUAGUUUCUACCAACUUUGACCAAAAACACCAACUUUGGCUACAAACAUCCAUUUUCUACCAACUUUGACCAAAAACACCAACUUUGGCUACAAACAUCCAUUUUCUACUAACUUUGACCAAAAACACCAACUUUGGCUACAAACAUCCAUUUUCUACCAACUUUGACCAAAAACACCAACUUUGGCUACAAACAUCCAUUUUCUACUAACUUUGACCAAAAACACCAACUUUGGCUACAAACAUCUUGUUUCUACCAACUUUGACCAAAAACACCAACUUUGGCUACAAACAUCUAGUUUCUACCAACUUUGACCAAAAACACCAACUUUGGCUACAAAUAUCCAUUUUCUACUAACUUUGACCAAAAACACCAACUUUGGCUACAAACAUCCAUUUUCUACUAACUUUGACCAAAAACACCAACUUUGGCUACAAACAUCUAGUUUCUACCAACUUUGACCAAAAACACCAACUUUGGCUACAAACAUCCAUUUUCUACUAACUUUGACCAACAACACCAACUUUGGCUACAAACAUCUAGUUUCUACCAACUUUGACCAAAAACACCAACUUUGGCUACAAAUAUCUAGUUUCUACCAACUUUAACCAAAAACACCAACUUUGGCUACAAACAUCUAGUUUCUACCAACUUUAACCAAAAACACCAAUUUUGGCUACAAACAUCCAUUUUCUACCAACUUUGACCAAAAACACCAACUUUGGCUACAAACAUCCAUUUUCUACUAACUUUGACCAAAAACACCAACUUUGGCUACAAACAUCUAGUUUCUACCAACUUUAACCAAAAACACCAAUUUUGGCUACAAACAUCCAUUUUCUACCAACUUUGACCAAAAACACCAACUUUGGCUACAAAUAUCCAUUUUCUACUAACUUUGACCAAAAACACCAACUUUGGCUACAAACAUCUUGUUUCUACCAACUUUGACCAAAAACACCAACUUUGGCUACAAACAUCUAGUUUCUACCAACUUUAACCAAAAACACCAACUUUGGCUACAAACAUCUAGUUUCUACUAACUUUGACCAAAAACACCAACUUUGGCUACAAACAUCCAUUUUCUACCAACUUUGACCAAAAACACCAACUUUGGCUACAAAUAUCCAUUUUCUACUAACUUUGACCAAAAACACCAACUUUGGCUACAAACAUCUUGUUUCUACCAACUUUGACCAAAAACACCAACUUUGGCUACAAACAUCUAGUUUCUACCAACUUUAACCAAAAACACCAACUUUGGCUAUAAACAUCUAGUUUCUACCAACUUUGACCAAAAACACCAACUUUGGCUACAAACAUCCAUUUUCUACCAACUUUGACCAAAAACACCAACUUUGGCUACAAACAUCCAUUUUCUACUAACUUUGACCAAAAACACCAACUUUGGCUACAAACAUCCAUUUUCUACCAACUUUGACCAAAAACACCAACUUUGGCUACAAACAUCCAUUUUCUACUAACUUUGACCAAAAACACCAACUUUGGCUACAAACAUCUAGUUUCUACCAACUUUGACCAAAAACACCAACUUUGGCUACAAACAUCUAGUUUCUACCAACUUUAACCAAAAACACCAACUUUGGCUACAAACAUCUAGUUUCUACCAACUUUAACCAAAAACACCAACUUUGGCUACAAACAUCCAUUUUCUACCAACUUUGACCAAAAACACCAACUUUGGCUACAAACAUCCAUUUUCUACUAACUUUGACCAAAAACACCAACUUUGGCUACAAACAUCUAGUUUCUACCAACUUUAACCAAAAACACCAACUUUGGCUACAAACAUCUAGUUUCUACCAACUUUGACCAAAAACACCAACUUUGGCUACAAACAUCCAUUUUCUACUAACUUUGACCAAAAACACCAACUUUGGCUACAAACAUCCAUUUUCUACCAACUUUAACCAAAAACACCAACUUUGGCUACAAACAUCCAUUUUCUACCAACUUUGACCAAAAACACCAACUUUGGCUACAAACAUCCAUUUUCUACUAACUUUGACCAAAAACACCAACUUUGGCUACAAACAUCCAUUUUCUACCAACUUUGACCAAAAACACCAACUUUGGCUACAAACAUCCAUUUUCUACUAACUUUGACCAAAAACACCAACUUUGGCUACAAACAUCUAGUUUCUACCAACUUUGACCAAAAACACCAACUUUGGCUACAAACAUCUAGUUUCUACCAACUUUGACCAAAAACACCAACUUUGGCUACAAACAUCCAUUUUCUACUAACUUUGACCAAAAACACCAACUUUGGCUACAAACAUCCAUUUUCUACCAACUUUAACCAAAAUCAUCAACUUUGGCUACAAACAUCCAUUUUCUACCAACUUUGACCAAAAACACCAACUUUGGCUACAAAUAUCCAUUUUCUACUAACUUUGACCAAAAACACCAACUUUGGCUACAAACAUCUUGUUUCUACCAACUUUGACCAAAAACACCAACUUUGGCUACAAACAUCUAGUUUCUACCAACUUUAACCAAAAACACCAACUUUGGCUACAAACAUCUAGUUUCUACUAACUUUGACCAAAAACACCAACUUUGGCUACAAACAUCCAUUUUCUACCAACUUUGACCAAAAACACCAACUUUGGCUACAAACAUCCAUUUUCUACUAACUUUGACCAAAAACACCAACUUUGGCUACAAACAUCCAUUUUCUACCAACUUUGACCAAAAACACCAACUUUGGCUACAAACAUCCAUUUUCUACUAACUUUGACCAAAAACACCAACUUUGGCUACAAACAUCUUGUUUCUACCAACUUUGACCAAAAACACCAACUUUGGCUACAAACAUCUAGUUUCUACCAACUUUAACCAAAAACACCAACUUUGGCUACAAACAUCUAGUUUCUACCAACUUUAACCAAAAACACCAACUUUGGCUACAAACAUCCAUUUUCUACCAACUUUGACCAAAAACACCAACUUUGGCUACAAAUAUCCAUUUUCUACUAACUUUGACCAAAAACACCAACUUUGGCUACAAACAUCUUUUUUCUACCAACUUUGACCAAAAACACCAACUUUGGCUACAAACAUCUAGUUUCUACCAACUUUAACCAAAAACACCAACUUUGGCUAUAAACAUCUAGUUUCUACCAACUUUGACCAAAAACACCAACUUUGGCUACAAACAUCCAUUUUCUACCAACUUUGACCAAAAACACCAACUUUGGCUACAAACAUCCAUUUUCUACUAACUUUGACCAAAAACACCAACUUUGGCUACAAACAUCCAUUUUCUACCAACUUUGACCAAAAACACCAACUUUGGCUACAAACAUCCAUUUUCUACUAACUUUGACCAAAAACACCAACUUUGGCUACAAACAUCUUGUUUCUACCAACUUUGACCAAAAACACCAACUUUGGCUACAAACAUCUAGUUUCUACCAACUUUAACCAAAAACACCAACUUUGGCUACAAACAUCUAGUUUCUACCAACUUUAACCAAAAACACCAACUUUGGCUACAAACAUCCAUUUUCUACCAACUUUGACCAAAAACACCAACUUUGGCUACAAACAUCCAUUUUCUACUAACUUUGACCAAAAACACCAACUUUGGCUACAAACAUCUAGUUUCUACCAACUUUAACCAAAAACACCAACUUUGGCUACAAACAUCCAUUUUCUACCAACUUUGACCAAAAACACCAACUUUGGCUACAAACAUCCAUUUUCUACUAACUUUGACCAAAAACACCAACUUUGGCUACAAACAUCUAGUUUCUACUAACAUUGACCAAAACCAUCAACUUUGGUCACAAACAUCUAGUUUCUACUAACUUUGACCAAAACCAUCAGCUACAUCCGCGUAUGUAGAAUGUGUGCGAGAAUGUGUGCGAUGCUAUUGGCCGCAAACAAUGUUCCUCUCUGUUUGCCACAACAUUUUUUACUAUUUCCAAUGUUUUUACCUGCAUUGAAACAGGUGGUUGAAAAUGUUAUGCACAGGUAUUUUUAUAUCCGAAAAAUAAUCUGUUCAGUGCCCUUCUUCAAAAGAACGAAUUGAUGGACAAAUUGAAAUACAUCUGAGCACAUCGACGUAAAACAACUUAUGGUAGCUAAUGAACGGAUCUAUCCAAAUCUCUGUUACAAUUGAAGAUCCAUUGGAAACUGACCGAGUUAUGGCAGGUGACAGAAAAAGCUUAGGUCGCGAAUAACUUUUUUGUCCGACAUCGGAGCACAUGGUCGUGUAAGACUUUUAGCUUGCAUUCAUUGAGAUCUAUCCAAAUCACAAAGAAAAUCCAAAAUCGGUUGAUAAAUGACUGAGAUAUGGGCAAAAAAGAGAAGUUGAAAUGCGAACCGCGAGAAAUCAGCCUGAAGGUAGCCAAUUCGUAUAAGCCAUUCAAUGAAUUAGAAGUUACUUUUUCGAAUAACUUUUUCCACAGACAUCUUAGCACAUCGACGUAGAACAACUUAUGGUAGCUAAUGAGCAGAUCUAUCCAAAUCUGUGUUACAAUUGAAGAUCCAUUGGAAACUGACCGAGUUAUAAGCAUGCAAAGUGGCAAAAUGAGAAAUUUUUUUUUUUUGAAAAACCGAGAAAAUUUCAAGUCUUUGUAUCUCGAAUAACAUUUGACACAGACAACUUAGCACAUCGGCGUAGAAUAACUUUUGGUAGUUUAUAAGCAGAUCUAUCCAUAUCUGUUUUACAAUUGAAGAUCCAUUGGAAACUGACCGAGUUAUAAGCAUGCAAGUGACAAAAUGAGGAUUUUUUUGUAAAAAUCGAGAAAAUCUUUUAUAAAAGAAAAAAUAAGAAUCGAGAAAAUAAGAUUUUAAAAACAUUAAAUGUACUGGAAAGAAGUUUUCAUUCCUACCGACAACAAUUAAAGCGCAGCGGAAUAUAAUUCGUUUAUUUCUUUCAUCACAUUGCUUACAUUUGGACCCAAUCGGCUCAAUCGUCCUUCACUUGCUUGGUAUGUGAUAAUAUGUGUAAUUAUCAUGCACAUUAACGAUAUCGUACACCGGAACGUUCCGGUGUAAAAUACAAUUCAAUUUUAAUGCCAUGCGGAAAAAGUGCCGAACUUGUCCGCUACACCUAAUGAAAGCUUUAUAUUGUACCCAGACGAAAGCUUUACAUCAAAAGCUCUGUGAUGCGAGAGCUUUUCCAUAUGCAUUGGAACCAUUUGGAAAGCUUUACCGCCAUUUGCAUUGGGUGUGUAGUAAAAGUGAUGUCAGUAAAAAUGUCAUCGCAGAUUCAUAACGUAAUAAUGUCGAAUUAUGCUUAUAUUUUCGGCUCAACUGUCAUUUAUUGGGUUUGUUGACAAUAAUAUAUGCAAUUGUGUGUGCACAUAAAUUUUUUUACCCAUACGCGGAACCUUCCGGCGUAAAUUGCAAUUCAAUUUAAGCCAAUGUUUUAAAUUGCAUUUUGAUUUCAUCUUCAUUACAGUAUUCUACUUAUUAUGUGUGGAAGUGUGUGAUACAAUUAAAUAUACAUUUAACAAAUCGUGAAGUUUUCUGCAAGAAUAUGUGCAAAACUGUUUGUAAUGGCAACCGUUCAAAAUAUGGGCGUGCGGUUUUUUUUUAUUUAAUUACAUUAAAUUGUAUUUUAUCAAAUGAGUCCAUUCAGGUGUUCCACCACUCUCUGUUGCUCUCUCGCACUGAUUGAUCGAAUCGUUCCCAUGCGAAAGAAUGGGAAGAAAAAAUUUGAUUUAUUUUUUGUUAGUACUGUUUUAAAUCGGAUUUUGGUCGGCUGUUAUAAUCAUUGAUUGUGGAGAAUUGGUUGAAAUAAAGUUUGACAGAAAAGAAAUAAUUUAAUUUAAUUUAUUAUAAUUUAAUUUAUGAUAAAUUAAUUUAUUUUAUUUUAAUUUAAUUUAAUUUAAUUCCAUAACAUUUCAUUUCAUUUCAUAUCAUUUCAUAUCAUUUCAUAUCAUUUCAUAUCAUUUCAUAUCAUUUCAUAUCAUUUCAUAUCAUUUCAUAUCAUUUCAUAUCAUUUCAUAUCAUUUCAUAUCAUUUCAUAUCAUUUCAUAUAAUUUCAUAUCAUUUCAUGUCAUUUCAUGUCAUUUCAUGUCGUUUCAUGUCAUUUCAUGUCAUUUCAUGCACAGCAAUAUCGCGCGCGCGCAAGCAUGCUCACUCCCACAGCAACAGCUAAUCGAACAUAUGGCACCACCCCCACCCACAAAAAACCACACCGGCAACAGCUGUUGAUACGGUGCGCGCUCCG